rnacentral:rRNA from 1 species
UACGAAGGGAGCGAGCGUUGUUCGGAAUCACUGGGCUUAAAGCGCGCGUAGGCGGAUUUAUAAGUCAGAAGUGAAAUCCCGGGGCUCAACCCCGGAACUGCUUUUGAGACUGUAGAUCUGGAAUCCGGUAGAGGUUAAUGGAAUAUCCAGUGUAGAGGUGAAAUUCGCAGAUAUUGGAUAGAACACCAGUGGCGAAGGCGAUUAACUGGGCCGGUAUUGACGCUGAGGUACGAAAGCGUGGGUAGCAAACAGG